CCUCAAAGAGCACCCAGCAUAACUGUGGGAGAAUAGUAAGCAUUGGACACAAAAUGGAAAAGCUGACCUUCUGGUACGGAAGAGCAUGAGCAGUGAGUGAGCAGUGCCCAUGCGUUGUGAGGCGGCCUCCAUGGUAUAAGGUUUAGGCAAAUAAUGAUGAACAAAAAUGGUCAGUCUGUGUUCCUGCUGACCCAGCACAGUGGGGACGCUGUGUAGGACAUGACCUUUGGGGGAAAGGACACAAGAACUCAGCGUGGGGGAUCCAGAAAAGAAGUCGCACGUAUUGAAGCCAGUAACGCCAAGCCAGUGAAUUCUCCUUGACGAGAAAGACCCACUUACUCUGCAGAAGAGAUAUAUGACAGCUGACAAUCCCUGGAGGAGAAUCUUUCUACUAAAUUGGUAAGGGAUGCUAAGCAAAUGAUGUGGACUCAGGAAACAACGCAUUUCAUGAUAUACGGUUGCCUCUCAAGGUGAAUUCGAGACCCCUCUUGAAUUACAAAGAGUAACUCCAGGUUGAAGAACUUCUACUUAUAGGCAUCUAUUCAACGAAGACGAAUCCUGGAAUGGGGAUGGAAAUGAUGGCUCAUGUCUUAGCAAACUACCAAACUGAUCCGAGAGGACAGGGAAGUCAGUGUGGGCGGCUCUAAGGAGCCUCCCUCUCUACAGCUGCGGCUCAGAGGAUUACGGCGCUUCAUCCACAAGGCAACAUUGCACAAGUAGCUUUUGAACAAAAGUCAUGGAUACUAUUAAUGAUAUGGUAAUCCUUAAUCGAGCUACCUCCCAGUAGUGAUUAUACUGACAUGGGAAGAAUAUCUAAGUCGUGGAGGCAGCCCACAACAACACUGUGUCAUUGUUCACCCCGGGCUCGACCAGGACUAACUUUUACCAGCAUCUCUAACGUCACCUUUCCCCUGAUGCCUCCCCACAACCCCUGGCCCCAGCUCCCAUUCCCGCCCCAUCAUAGCAAAAAAGUAGCAAAGAAAACCCUGAUCCUAAAUCUUUUUCUGGAUUUUUUUUUGCAAGUUCCCACACACAUUUAGUGUCGUCUCAAAAUUCACGCUGUCAACUGUCUCUAGGAAUCAUUUCCAUCUGAGAACAGACCACACAAAGACACAGUGAAACUCAGUUUCUGCAGAAUUUGAUUUCAUUUGAGUUACUGGGGAACAAAGCAAUUAGACAAUGAAUAAUAGCUCAAGACAGGCUGAAGCUGAAGAUUUCUGCAAAAGAAUGAAGAGGAAACGUUUUGAUCCUGAGCAGAUGUUCUCCCUAGAUUGCUUCACCUGAGGUUGAUUGACUUUUGGAAACGAGAUUUGUUCCCAGGUGGGUAAGCCUUGGGGCCAUAGGUUUUUCAGGAUUUUGAAGGUCACAUGGAAUGCGAGGGGGUUAGGGAAAUUUCCCAAGCAUUUAUGGGACCUGGGGGAAUCUCACGUUGAAGAAGGUGGUUACCACACGCAAGCAAGCCCUUUUCCUGUUGCAGGCGGUGGACAGCUCCCGUCUGAGCAUGCAAGUCUGCAGGGAGCUGCAGAUGGCGGAGGGGCGCCCCGAGGCCUCCGGGAGAGCAGCUUGGGGAGCGGCAGCAGGGCACGCCGGGAAAGGCGCGAGGCACUCUGGGAAGGCAACCUAGGAAGGGUGGGGCCCUGGGGCCUUUUGAGGAGCUAAGUGGCCAAGGAGAGGUGCGUUUAGUUAUCUCAGAAGUCCGUUGCCCUCGUGGUGUCCAUUCUGUAACUGUUCUCACAAGACAAGACAGCCUGAGUUGUUUACAGCCAGCAACUCUUCCUGUCUGAGAGCGGUGUCUCCCGUUGGGUUUCCCUAGUGCCUCACCUUGGUCCAGAUGGCCGAAGGGGACCGUUUCCUGUGGCCUCUUCGCACUGUUCUAGGUGUUAACGAUCCCCCCCGCCCCGCCCCUACUGACUUCCUCAUCCUAGCCUUUUACUUCUUUUCUGCCUGGCCUCUGAUUUUACAAUAUACUAUGGGGAGAAAUGUCUCUGAAGUUUUACUUCAGCCUGAAAUGUAUAAGACAAGCCCUCAAGAGUUUCCAAAAUCAUAAAUACGUUGCUUUGUGAGUCUCUUGUUGGAAGGACUGUCUUUAAAUUAAAGCAAUUAGAGUUACUUUAUAAGAUUUACCCAAAUAUAAGAGCUGAAGAGAAUAAUUCAAAUUGAUCAGAAGAAAAUACUCAAUUACUGACAAAUGUCAAUUACAUCAAUAGCCUAGGCUGCUCUUGAACUCCUGGGCUCAAACGAUCCUCCCCUGUCGGCCUCCCAAAGUGCUGGGAUUACAAGCUUGAACCACCAUGCCCAGCCUCAGAAAUUUUUUAAAUGACAGCUCAUACAGUUUUCUUUUAUAAAGGAGGAGAAAAUGUGUAAUUGUAAGCAGCUGAACUAAAAUAUCUCUGUGACAUUUUGCUGGUGACUCCAGCCCUGUGAGAUCUGAGUGGCUCAGGAAUCAAAUUCUCCCACAAACCUGAGGAAGCCUUUUAUUCUUAAUGCCAACAGGAUGCCCCAUGCCCAGAAUGUCAAAUCUGAACACCAAUGGAAUGCAUUUUAUAAACAAAUUGAAAAAGGACAAUCUUUAACAGAAUUGUUGUUCUCUAGGCAGAUUAGUUGUGCUUCAAAUACAAAAUGAAAUAUUAGAGAACAAAAUUAUUUUUAAACAGCUAAUACUAGUAGAAAAUAAAAGGCUGAAAAGUGCU
rnacentral:lncRNA from 1 species